CGUAACCGAACACGAAAUUUUUCGAUCGCACGUAGGUGACUUGAGACCACAGCACAUUCGAUAUUCACUUCUCGAUCGUUGUAUCACUUGAGUGCUUUCACAGUCAAGACAGAACACAUAAAAUCACGAAAUGGCAGAUUUACCAAGAUCCGAUGUUGAAAAAGCCGAAUUUGCUUUCUCCAUCUAUGAUGCUGAUGGUUCAAACAAGAUCGAUGCCUAUGAUCUUGGCGAUGUUUUGCGAGCACUCAACUGCAACCCAACUCUUGCUUUGGUCGAAAAAUUGGGCGGCACCAAAAAGCGUGGUGAAAAAUUGUUGUCCCUCGAAGAGUUCUUGCCAAUCUAUGCUCAAGUGAAAAAAGACAAAGAACAAGGUUGCUAUGAAGAUUUCCUUGAAUGUCUUAAAUUGUACGACAAAAACGAGAACGGUUUGAUGUUGCUCGCCGAAUUGAACCACGCUUUGCUCGCCCUUGGUGAUCCACUUGAACCAGAACAAGUUGAAGCUGUAUUCAAGGACUGCAUGCCAGAAGAAAAUGAUGAUGGUGAAAUCAAAUAUGCCCAAUUCUUGAAAAACAUGAUGGUCAUGGCUCCACUUUUACCCUAGAUGUAUAUCAAAUCACCAUGGAAUAAAUAAAACCUAAUUUCUGUUGUAAAUUUAAAUAAAAAAAUAUCUGUCUGUCGCAAUCUAUGCCCGAAAACGAAUAACAUUUUUGGCUGCGAUGUGCGAGGUUGAACCACCUCAAGAGUAAACUAGAGCUUCAUCUUGAUUCAUUUCAUUUUAUUUAUUUUCUUUUUUUUUCUUUUUAUAACUUCUUUAAAAUAAACUGAAUAAAGCGGCAUUCACUUAUGUAAAAAAAGAAUUGAACAAUCCGAGAAAAAAAUUCAAUAAAAAACAAAGAAAAUCACCAAAAUUUUGCGCUAAUUUUAAAUCCACAAUCAUUGUCAUAACAAAUACACCAUUCAAUUUAAUUACUUCCAAACCCUUGUGAUGGAGAAUGAUUGUACGAAGAGGUCAUUUACGCGAAAAUUGUUCAAUUUUUGAUCAAUUUCUCUGAAAAAUUCAUUUCGAUAUUUUUUUUUUUUUCUUCAAAAUUCAUAAUUGGAUCGGAUUCACAAAAAAUAAAAUGAAACUGCCAGUCGAAAUGCCAUUAUUUAAUCCAUCAACAUUUUCCAACCACAAGGGUUUGGUUUUAUGAACUGUUUGCAUUUCGAGAAUAUCAUAUACAAAAAGACCAGAUUUCGAUUUAAGAAAUAGUCGUCUCGAACAAUUAAAUGGAAAGAUGAGCAUUAAAUGUGUAGCCAUUUUCAUGA